CCUACGGGUGGCAGCAGUGAGGAAUAUUGGUCAAUGGACGAGAGUCUGAACCAGCCAAGUAGCGUGAAGGAUGACUGCCCUAUGGGUUGUAAACUUCUUUUAUAAAGGAAUAAAACGAGGCACGUGUGCCUUUUUGCAUGGACUUUAUGAAUAAGGAUCGGCUAACUCCGUGCCAGCAGCCGCGGUAAUACGGAGGAUCCGAGCGUUAUCCGGAUUUAUUGGGUUUAAAGGGAGCGUAGAUGGGUUGUUAAGUCAGUUGUGAAAGUUUGCGGCUCAACCGUAAAAUUGCAAUUGAUACUGGCAGUCGUGAGUACAGUUGAGGUAGGCGGAAUUCGUGGUGUAGCGGUGAAAUGCUUAGAUAUAACGAAGAACCCCGAUGGCGAAGGCAGCUUACUAAACUGUGACUGACAUUGAUGCUCGAAAGUGUGGGUAUCAAACAGGAUUAGAUACCCGAGUAGUC
rnacentral:rRNA from 1 species